rnacentral:rRNA from 1 species
UAGAGUUUGAUCAUGGCUCAGAUUGAACGCUGGCGGCAGGCCUAACACAUGCAAGUCGAGCGGAAACGAGAAUAGCUUGCUAUUCGGCGUCGAGCGGCGGACGGGUGAGUAAUGCCUGGGAAAUUGCCCUGAUGUGGGGGAUAACCAUUGGAAACGAUGGCUAAUACCGCAUAAUAGCUUCGGCUUAAAGAGGGGGACCUUCGGGCCUCUCGCCUCAGGAUAUGCCCAGGUGGGAUUAGCUAGUUGGUGAGGUAAAGGCUCACCAAGGCGACGAUCCCUAGCUGGUCUGAGAGGAUGAUCAGCCACACUGGAACUGAGACACGGUCCAGACUCCUACGGGAGGCAGCAGUGGGGAAUAUUGCACAAUGGGCGCAAGCCUGAUGCAGCCAUGCCGCGUGUAUGAAGAAGGCCUUCGGGUUGUAAAGUACUUUCAGCAGUGAGGAAGGGUGUGUAGUUAAUAGCUGCAUACUUUGACGUUAGCUGCAGAAGAAGCACCGGCUAACUCCGUGCCAGCAGCCGCGGUAAUACGGAGGGUGCGAGCGUUAAUCGGAAUUACUGGGCGUAAAGCGCAUGCAGGUGGUUUGUUAAGUCAGAUGUGAAAGCCCGGGGCUCAACCUCGGAACCGCAUUUGAAAAUGGCAGGCUAGAGUACUGUAGAGGGGGGUAGAAUUUCA